UACGAAGGGGGCUAGCGUUGCUCGGAAUCACUGGGCGUAAAGCGCACGUAGGCGGCUUCUUAAGUCAGGGGUGAAAUCCUGGAGCUCAACUCCAGAACUGCCUCUGAUACUGAGGAGCUCGAGUCCGGGAGAGGUGAGUGGAACUCCGAGUGUAGAGGUGAAAUUCGUAGAUAUCUGGAGGAACACCGGUGGCGAAGGCGGCAUCCUGGACCGGCAUUGACGCUGAGGCGCGAAAGCCAGGGGAGCAAACGGG
rnacentral:rRNA from 1 species